GAUAUCCCUAGGCAGGGUGAGGGGAUCUGCAGCAUGCCACUGACACUGCGCUGCGUGCCAGCAUCUCUGCUGAGAACAGGACAACUUGAGUCUCUCGGACUGUAAUAACUCUAGGCAGCCUGGAGACAGGGGGUGAGGGGCAGCAAACUUAUUUAACAAGCAUGUUUAAAAAAAAAAACUAAAAAAGAGAGAAACCACAGCAAGUGGGAAAGAAAACUACUUCCCCACCAACAUGCAACAGUUCCGGCACCAAGCUGCACGGUUGCAGGGGUGGCCAGUCCUACUGGUUUUGAGCUGUACAUACUGAGACAGCAAGGCAGUACUUAUUCCAUGUCCUGAUGUGGUAACAAGAUCUGACCAAAUAAAAUGUUUACAAUA